GCCUUCCUACGGGGCGCAGCAGUGGGGAAUAUUGCACAAUGGGGGAAACCCUGAUGCAGCGACGCCGCGUGGGCGAGGAAGUACCUCGGUAUGUAAAGCCCUAUCAGCAGGGAAGAAACAGGACAGUACCUGACUAAGAAGCCCCGGCUAACUACGUGCCAGCAGCCGCGGUAAUACGUAGGGGGCAAGCGUUAUCCGGAUUCACUGGGCGUAAAGGGAGCGCAGGCGGCAUGGCAAGUCUGAUGUGAAAAUCCGGGGCCCAACCCCGGAACUGCAUUGGAAACUGUUUACCUAGAGUGUCGGAG
rnacentral:rRNA from 1 species